AUGAAAAUGAUUUGUUGGAAUUGCUGAGGUUUGGGUCGACCUCAGACAGUACAAGAACUUAUAUGCCUCACAAAGACACAUCGACCCAACGUUAUCUUUCUUUCCGAAACAAGGCAAAAUAGGAAUAUGUUGAGAGUUUGUUACCACAUGGGUAUGAAAAAUGUUUUUACCGUGUCUAUGCGUGGCAAAGGAGGUGGACUAGCGGUCUUUUGGGAUGAUCUUUACAUUCUGGAGUUGAAAAAAAAUAUGAAGAACACUUCAUUGUCAUGUACAUUUGCAAUCGCGUUGGAACUAAAUGGAGAAAAAAAAGUGCCUAUGGGGAACCAAAGGCGAGCCAAUGGUGUGUGA
rnacentral:rRNA from 1 species